rnacentral:rRNA from 1 species
GACGAACGCUGGCGGCGUGCUUAACACAUGCAAGUCGAACGGAAAGGCCCUGCUUUUGUGGGGUGCUCGAGUGGCGAACGGGUGAGUAACACGUGAGUAACCUGCCCUUGACUUUGGGAUAACUUCAGGAAACUGGGGCUAAUACCGGAUAGGAGCUCCUGCUGCAUGGUGGGGGUUGGAAAGUUUCGGCGGUUGGGGAUGGACUCGCGGCUUAUCAGCUUGUUGGUGGGGUAGUGGCUUACCAAGGCUUUGACGGGUAGCCGGCCUGAGAGGGUGACCGGCGGCGGUGGGACUGGUAGAGGGGCGAGAGGACGCCGGGGGGCACAUGGGGGGGAGGUGGCGGGAGGGGCGGAGGCUGGAUACCGCAGUGGCGGGUGCGGGAGGGGGGCUUACGGGGUGAAAAAAGCUAUCGCCGGGGACGAAGCGGGCUGGAGGGGAAUGGGUAGGGAAGAAGAGGACAUGUACGGC